AUGUCUGGUCGUGGGAAGGGUGGGAAGGGUCUAGGCAAAGGCGGCGCCAAGCGCCACCGCAAGGUUUUACGCGAUAACAUCCAGGGCAUCACUAAGCCUGCUAUCCGUCGCUUGGCUCGUCGUGGAGGCGUUAAACGCAUUUCAGGCCUUAUCUACGAGGAGACGCGGGGAGUUCUUAAGGUGUUUCUAGAGAACGUAAUCCGCGAUGCCGUCACCUACACUGAGCAUGCUAAGCGCAAGACUGUCACCGCCAUGGACGUGGUAUACGCGCUAAAGCGCCAAGGUCGCACCCUCUACGGCUUUGGCGGCUAUAAAUAGACCUACUUCGGCAUGGCUCGCACCAAGCAGACAGCUCGUAAAUCCACUGGCGGCAAGGCACCGCGUAAGCAGCUCGCUACGAAGGCGGCCAGAAAAAGUGCGCCAGCCACUGGUGGUGUGAAGAAGCCUCAUCGCUACCGGCCUGGUACUGUGGCCCUGCGUGAGAUCCGCCGCUACCAGAAAUCUACCGAGCUGCUGAUCCGAAAGCUACCUUUCCAGCGCCUGGUUCGUGAGAUUGCCCAAGACUUCAAGACCGACCUGCGCUUCCAGAGCUCAGCUGUGAUGGCUUUGCAGGAGGCCUGCGAGGCCUACCUGGUGGGGCUAUUUGAAGACACCAAUCUUCUUGUGACUUCGGGUUUUAUAACCAUGUCUGGACGCGGCAAGGGCGGGAAGGGCCUUGGUAAAGGUGGAGCCAAGCGGCACCGCAAAGUACUGCGAGACAACAUCCAGGGCAUCACUAAGCCCGCGAUCCGGCGUCUGGCUCGCCGUGGCGGAGUCAAGCGUAUUUCCGGCCUCAUCUACGAAGAGACUCGCGGGGUGCUUAAAGUGUUUCUGGAGAACGUGAUCCGGGACGCUGUUACUUACACGGAGCACGCCAAACGCAAGACUGUCACCGCCAUGGAUGUGGUGUAUGCGCUCAAACGCCAGGGCCGCACUCUGUACGGCUUUGGUGGUUAAGUAUACUUUCGUUUCUGUUUCCAACCAAAAGGCCCUUUUCAGGGCCCCCUAUCUUCUCACUUGAGGAGCCAUUACACUUCUGGUUUUACUUGUUCUUCCGCGUCUGCGCAAUUCAAGCCGCCAUUGGUGUGUGUGUCUGCGGUGACAAGCUAGGUAAAGAUUGAUUGGCUAAUUACGAUCCAGCCAAAGGUUAACGUGAUGUUAAAAGUACCGUAAAACCUUAGCACUACUCACAGUAAAGCAAUUGUGUCCUAGGCCACAAUUAAGGUAUUAAUUGUGCGCUAGAGUUAAAACGGCAUGAAACAACCUUUCUGUGACGACUGGUUAGCCUGUGUAUGCUAUAGAAAGUGAUGGGCUGUACACUCCUCGCUUAGGCAGUUAAUGAAACAUGGAGUAUUCAAUAUACCGGAGACUAAAAUUUGGGUGCUUGUUGACAUGGAGGGCUGGUGGUUUGCUGUGUUAAUUGGUGAGCUUUGGUUGAGAUGUCCUUGGCUCCUUGUUCUGGUUCUAAUCAGCACACCGAAUCUGGAAGGUUUGUAGAGUACUUAGAGAACAACUGCAAGUAAUUCCCACGAAACAAUAGGUGAGGAUAGGAUGCUAUUGAAAAGCUUUUUAACUAAGGGAAAAGUAGUCGCAUUGCUGAAGGGUUCUACAGGAUAAAAUAUUUGGUAACCCUUCAACCCAGAAAGACUAUUAAAAAGUGACUCUUGGUACACAGAGAAAGAGGGAUUAAACGAGAGUA